rnacentral:rRNA from 1 species
CCGUCCGGCAUCUAUCAUGCAGUCGAGCGGACCAAUGAAGAGCUUGCUCUUCGGCGGUUAGCGGCGGACGGGUGAGUAACACGUAGGCAACCUGCCUGUACGACUGGGAUAACUCCGGGAAACCGGAGCUAAUACCGGAUACUUCUUUCAGACCGCAUGGUCUGAAAGGGAAAGACCUUUGGUCACGUACAGAUGGGCCUGCGGCGCAUUAGCUAGUUGGUGGGGUAACGGCCUACCAAGGCGACGAUGCGUAGCCGACCUGAGAGGGUGAUCGGCCACACUGGGACUGAGACACGGCCCAGACUCCUACGGGAGGCAGCAGUAGGGAAUCUUCCGCAAUGGACGAAAGUCUGACGGAGCAACGCCGCGUGAACGAUGAAGGUUUUCGGAUCGUAAAGUUCUGUUGUUAGGGAAGAACCGCCGGGAUGACCUCCCGGUCUGACGGUACCUAACGAGAAAGCCCCGGCUAACUACGUGCCAGCAGCCGCGGUAAUACGUAGGGGGCAAGCGUUGUCCGGAAUUAUUGGGCGUAAAGCGCGCGCAGGCGGCUUCUUAAGUCAGGUGUGAAAGCCCACGGCUCAACCGUGGAGGGCCACUUGAAACUGGGAAGCUUGAGUGCAGGAGAGGAGAGCGGAAUUCCACGUGUAGCGGUGAAAUGCGUAGAGAUGUGGAGGAACACCCGUGGCGAAAGGGGCUCUCUGGGCCUGUAACUGACGCUGAGGCGCGAAAGCGUGGGGGAAGCGAACAGGAUUAGAUACCCUGGUAGUCCACGCCGUAACGUUGAGUGCUAGGUGUUGGGGGACUCCCAUCCUCAUGCCGCAGCUAACGCAUAAGCACUCCCGCUGGGAGUACGGCCGCAAGGCUUGAACUCAAGGAUUGACCGGUACCGCCUACUAGUCGGUGAGACAUGUGGUUAAUUCGAGAACCCUGGAAACCUACCAGGCUGACAGUCUCCUG